AUGUCGAGCCAACUCAUUGGACAGCCUCAUGUCGGAGGGGUAGAAAGGAUGUCAGCGUCCCACGUCUGUCACUCAGGUGACCCGCAGCACCUCAAAAUGACAGAGCUGAAAGAAAGUGUUUUGGAAGAGCUGCAUAUAUGUUUGACAGAAUGUUGCAAGGUGUACAGAUGCUUCAGUGUGGACAAAGUGAAAACAGGUUCACGAUGCUUUGAAAAACCGAGAAAAGUGAGCAGUGAUGAAAGGUUAGGAUGCUUCAUUUUCUGUGUGCUCUUGGCUGGACCACAGGGCCUAGAUAUUUGGUCGAACAUUAUCCUGGAUGUUUUUGUGAGGCCUUGGUUGAGAUUCACAUUUAAAUCAGUGGACUUUGAGGGGAGCAGGUGCCCUCUAUGAUGUGGGUGGGCCUCCUCCAGUCAUGUAAAGGCCUGCAAGGAGCUAAAGACUGACCUCCCCCAGCAAGAGGGAUUUCUGCCAGCAGACGGCUUUUGGACUUGAGCUGCAUUGGCUCUUCUCUGGGUCUCGCACUUGCUGGCUCACCCUGCAGAUUUUGGACUUGCCAGCCUCCAUAAGCAGGGGAGCCAAUUCUUUAUAAUAAAUCUCUUUAUCUAUUUCUCUAGUUAGCGAUCAUCUAUCUAUACCUAUCAUCAUCUACUAUCAUCUCCUGUCGGUUCUGUUUCUCUGGAGAAGUCUGGCUAAUACAACCAUUUUUUUUUUAAAGAUUUUAUUUAUUCAUUCAUGAGAGACACACAGAGAGAGGCAGAGACACAGGCAGAGGGAGAAGCAGGCUCCCAGCGGGCGCCCCGAUGCGGGACUCAAUCCUAGGACCCUGGGAACAUGCCCUUGCCCGAAGCCAGAUGCUCAACCGGUGAGCCACCCGGGUGCCCCUGGUUAAUACAAAUAUUGAGGAAACUUCAAAUACCCUCACUUUCACAGUUAAUGACCACACCCACUCACCUUCUCUAUACUUGGGAGCAUACGGCUGUAGAUGCCGCCUGGG
rnacentral:lncRNA from 1 species